UUGAACGCUGGCGGCAGGCCUAACACAUGCAAGUCGAGCGGAUGAAGGGAGCUUGCUCCUGGCUUCAGCGGCGGACGGGUGAGUAAUGCCUAGUAAUCUGCCUGGUAGUGGGGGAUAACGUCCGGAAACGGGCGCUAAUACCGCAUACGUCCUGAGGGAGAAAGUGGGGGAUCUUCGGACCUCACGCUAUCAGAUGAGCCUAGGUCGGAUUAGCUAGUUGGUGGGGUAAAGGCCUACCAAGGCGACGAUCCGUAACUGGUCUGAGAGGAUGAUCAGUCACACUGGAACUGAGACACGGUCCAGACUCCUACGGGAGGCAGCAGUGGGGAAUAUUGGACAAUGGGCGAAAGCCUGAUCCAGCCAUGCCGCGUGUGUGAAGAAGGUCUUCGGAUUGUAAAGCACUUUAAGUUGGGAGGAAGGGCAGUAAGUUAAUACCUUGCUGUUUUGACGUUACCAACAGAAUAAGCACCGGCUAACUUCGUG
rnacentral:rRNA from 1 species